CAGUAGCCACGGUAAUACGUAGGUCCCGAGCGUUGUCCGGAUUUAUUGGGCGUAAAGCGAGCGCAGGCGGUUAGAUAAGUCUGAAGUUAAAGACUGUGGCUUAACCAUAGUACGCUUUGGAAACUGUUUAACUUGAGUGCAAGAGGGGAGAGUGGAAUUCCAUGUGUAGCGGUGAAAUGCGUAGAUAUAUGGAGGAACACCGGUGGCGAAAGCGGCUCUCUGGCUUGUAACUGACGCUGAGGCUCGAAAGCGUGGGGAGCAAACAGGAUUAGAUACCCCAGUAGUCCCUGUCUCUUAUACA
rnacentral:rRNA from 1 species